rnacentral:rRNA from 1 species
GACGAACGCNGGCGGCGUGCUUAACACAUGCAAGUCGAACGGAGCGAAUGAAAGCUUGCUUUUAUGAGCUUAGUGGCAAACGGGUGAGUAACACGUAGACAACCUGCCGACAGGAUGGGGACAACAUUCCGAAAGGAAUGCUAAUACCGAAUGAAGCGGAGGAGAGGCAUCUCUCCUCCGUGAAAGAUGGCCUCUAUUUAUAAGCUAUCACCUGUCGAUGGGUCUGCGUCUGAUUAGCUGGUUGGUGAGGUAACGGCUCACCAAGGCGACGAUCAGUAGCCGGUCUGAGAGGAUGAACGGCCACAUUGGGACUGAGACACGGCCCAGACUCCUACGGGAGGCAGCAGUGGGGAAUCUUCCGCAAUGGGCGCAAGCCUGACGGAGCAACGCCGCGUGAGUGAAGAAGGUCUUCGGAUCGUAAAGCUCUGUUGAUGGGGACGAAUGUACGGAGUGCGAAUAGUGCUCNGUAANGACG